GACGUAGGGUGCGAGCGUUGUCCGGAUUUAUUGGGCGUAAAGAGCUCGUAGGCGGCUUGUCGCGUCGACCGUGAAAACUUGGGGCUCAACCCCAAGCCUGCGGUCGAUACGGGCAGGCUAGAGUUCGGUAGGGGAGACUGGAAUUCCUGGUGUAGCGGUGAAAUGCGCAGAUAUCAGGAGGAACACCGAUGGCGAAGGCAGGUCUCUGGGCAUUAACUGACGCUGAGGAGCGAAAGCAUGGGGAGCGAACAGG
rnacentral:rRNA from 1 species